rnacentral:piRNA from 1 species
UGCUAAUAUAAACUCAUGCUGCCUCUUCCU